AUAAAAUCCAAGCUGUCAGGUUGGCCACGCUAUGUUUCAAAUUAUGGAAAACAGAAAGGAACCCGAUACGUUCAUGUCUUGAUAGAUAUACAACAAGUUUGACAACAACCAUUGAGUGAGAAAUUGUAAAACGGUUUGGACAAGAAGCUGACACAAUCCUUUUUUAUUUCUUUUUCCAACAUAAAAAGCGCUUAGUCUUGUGGAAGAAGCGAGUUUGGUCUUUGGAUUUGAUCGAAAUAUAUGUUGUAAACGCGGUUGUGCUUUCGUGUUUUCUUUUUGAAGAAGGAUAUUAAGUUUCCGUUUGGAUAAAGGUAAGAUUUCAUAGAAUUGCAGGAAUACUGUAUGUAGCAGGUGUGAAAAGGAUCUUUCUUUAUGGCAGAUUUUGCGAGUGCAAUUGUCUUCGACAAAAACUUGUUCUAUGAAACUAUAUUGCUGUGUUCCGUGGACUAUUGGAUAUUGUGUAAAUCAACUUUUGUAAUAUAAUUUUAUUAAAUUUUAUAUAGUCUUUUGUUGUGUAAUCUCUUUCAAGAUAACAACAAUGGCAGAUCCUGUCGUAGAUUUUCUCUAAACUGAGAUUUUUUUAUUAAGAAUUUUCAACUUAGCAAUUUUAUUUGUUCGUUUUACUGACCUUUUUUUCUCGGUUGCUUUCAAUCGCAAAUUAUAUCUGAAACAAAACAGCUGAGGGGAAAGUUUUGCAGAUUAUUUAUUUUUGUAGACAAAAUAAGCAGGUGUUAUUUUGUAUUUUUCUUUUUUUAGAAUUUAUAGUUUUUUUCUGAAGCGAUACAUGCAUGAUUAUUAUUAGAAUAAUAAUACUAUUUGAUACAAGUAUAUUUUGAUUGUUCAUAUAGUCUUGAAGGUAAGCGCAUAAACAAAACAUUUAUUUACAACUUAUAUGUAAUUGUUUUACUUGAAUGAGAAAUAAUGUAUACUUUUGAAUUGAUUUUGAAGAACUACUAUUACUUGUACUUCUCAUAAAUGUAAAUUCAUAUAGGCUUUUAUUAAAGAUAAACGAUAAGAGUUUUACAAAUUAAGUUAACUGUAAUUGGAUAUUAUUUUGAAAUGUGAAAUUAGUAAAUAUUUAAAUAUGUUUGAAAAGGUGAUGGCGAUUUCACUGCGGUAAAACAUUAAUAAAAUCCUCAUUUUUGAAUAUUUAAAAACGUACCCCCUCAUCGUUCCCUCCUGAAAAAAAAAUAUAUGAAUUAAUUUAGAUACAAAAAAAAAUUAUCUUCUCUUUUUUUGCGAAUGAAUGACGCUUUUCUGACGGUUCUAUAUUAAAAAUAUGGGAAAAAGUUAGAAUAUUAUGGACAGAAAAAGUGGUCAGAAUACUGUUUCUAAGAUUUUAAAAAGUAAGUAAGAAUUAUUAUGAAAACAAAGAUGCACAAAUAGUAGCAACACGGACUUUGGACGUCUGAACAAUACACCAUAUAACAUCUUAGCAACUGUAUAGUUUAAGUCUUGUAAUAUAUAACACACAUAUAUAUAUAUAUGCUUUGACAAUAAUUGAUCAACGUUUGUUUUUCUUUUUUGAAUUUCAUUUUGUUUUAUCAUGCAGAGAAUUAAAAAAAAUUUCCUAUACAAAUUAUGUUGUAAAACCAAAAUCAUUAGAAUUAUUUUCCUUGCAUAUUAGCAUGUUUAAUAAAUGAUGGGGUCAUUAAAAACAAGAAGGUAUUAAUUAUUUCUAAUAAAGACGGAAAAUCUGGUAUUGUUAGAGCAAAUCAAAGCGUAAAAAUGCGACUGAAGCCAGCAAUGUUGAAAAAAAUCUUGCUUUUUUUCUAGAUAAUUAUACGGUAUCUGCUUCAUUUGCUUGACUUAUACUGAAAUCCUCUGACAUCUACGGAAAGAUAUUUUUUUAUUCCAAAUGGUUCCCUGUUAUUAAUAAGAACCAGUUCUAAUCUAUCUGCAUUGGUCUUCAUUAAGAAUACUAAAGUAUUUUCAAACAUUAGAAGUAGAUACCAGAAUGAUUAUGUAGGAUAUGUUAUACUCAGUGUAAUUAUAUCUCCUCACAAUAAAAUAUGAGAAUGCAUCUACCAGGAGGUCUGACUAUAAAAUAAGACACGGACACUUUAUUCACAGUAGUGUCCGUCGAAUCGAAUUUUGUCAGAAAUUUUUACGAGGAUUUUCACGCCGAGCAUUUUCACGCGUUAGAUUAUAAUAAGUUCUUGUGGAAAUUGUUUGUUCUAUCAUAGAAAUUUUUUAUGAACAUUUUCACGCGUUUCAGGAAAGUGAUUCCUGUGGAGGUUUUUGGUUCUGUGAUUAUUUUAAAAAUACAAGAAAUUUUCAAAAAAAUAAAUAAACAAAAAAUUGCGAUUAUAAGUCGCAUUUUAUUAAAAAAAAAUCACAGUUGGUAACUAUAUAUUCCGUACUGCAUUAAGACACGUAACAUAUGGAAAACGCAAAACAACACAUACAGCAAAACAACUUCGCAACCUGAAUAUUACAUAGUUUUGAUUUCUUUUUUUGAAAUCUAAAUACAGAUCAUAUUGACCAUCAAGAUGCCAAGCAAACAGAGAUAAGAUUAUUCAAACGGACAGUUUAAACAGAUAUGAGAAAGUCAAUGACUUUCCGUGUUAAAAAUUUAAGAUACAAAUCAAUUCAGAUAUAGAAAAUCUAAGUCACUGGCAUAUUUCUUCCAUUUCAGCCAUCUUUUAAAGUAUUUACACCUCAAAAUAGUAAAACGGCGAAAUUGUGUCCCCGGCGAAUAAGCGCACCCCACUCUAGCGUAAAAGAAAAACAUAGACUGAUGUUUUCUAUAUAAAAAAAGAUGAAAAAAUACACGAAUGAUGCAAAUGCUUAAAUUUUGAUAGACAAUGAAAUUAACAACUCUUGUUUUGUUCUUGUACACUGAAAAUUACGACACAAAGUAACCAUAUAAAUUUGUUUAUCCUAAAAACAAUACCAAAAAGAAAAUGAAAACAACAAAAACAAAGGAAGUAAUAUAGACAAUAAAAUAAUAAUUUCAUGAAAAACCAAUAAUGAUCUUUUUUACACACUGGAAAUGAGAACAUACAAACUUUCCCAUGUAGACAAUAGUAAACAUAUAUAUGAAUAAUUAAAUGAACGCAAGAAUACAAUCAAUGUUUUGCUACUUCGGAGAAAAAUAAAAAUUAAAAGCUGAGAAUACAAUUAAGAUUCAAAAACAAAAAACACGCUAAACAUUUUUUUCCAUACAUAACUAUUACUUUUGUUUAAAAGAGGAGCGAAAGAUACCAUAGGGACAGCCAAUAAAAUUUAAAUUAUUAUAUAACAAUGCGAUUUUUUUUUUUUAAAUUCGAAACUCAAAAUCGUAUUAAAAUUCCAUUGGUAAACAUAUUUCAGAUUUUAUGGUUAUUAUAUAUUUAAAGCUAGAGUCACGUUUGAUGAUUUGAAAAAGAAAAAAUAAACAAAUAUGUGCAUGCACUCUUUUAAACAUUGAGUAGUUUCAAUUUUUUUUUCGAUGAUUCGACGAAAUUGACCCAUUUUAUAAUGCAUGUUAACAUUGCGUAAAAAUGUAAAUGUUUUUCGUUACAUUAUAUAACUUUUAAUAGACAUUCAGUACUAAAAUAACAAAAAUUGUUUACAAAAACUACGCUGUUUCCUGAACAUGUCAUUCUGUUGAAACAAUAGAACACUGGAAUGCCAUUACGUAUAGGUCAAAUGUCACUACGCCAUUAUACUUUAACAUAGGGUGGUAUUUAGUCUGCAUUUUGUCAUACAUGGAUUUUUGAAAAAAAAUAAUCUUAUAUAAGAUUUUUUUUUAUUUGAUAUAAAGUUCAAAAUAGUAUGAAGAUUCACCCAAAGGGGGGAUAACAAUUUCAUUCGAAAAAGAACAUACAAGACCAAUGGCAAAAACAAAAAAGACCGCCAUUAUACUUAAACAUAGGGUGGUAUUUAGUCUGCAUUAUGUCAUACAUGGAUUUUUUUAUUUGAGACAUAAAGUGAUGUUCAAAGAAGUAUGAAGAUUCACCCAAAAGGGGGAUAACAAUCUUCAUUCGAAAAGGAACAAACAAGACCAAUGCCAAAAAGAAAAAAGACCGCCAUUAUACUUAAACAUAGGGUGGUAUUUAGUCUGCAUUAUGUCAUACAUGUAUUUUUUUAUUUGAGACAUAAAGUGAUGUUCGAUCAAAGAAGUAUGAAGAUUCACCCAAAAGGGGGAUAACAAUCUUCAUUCGAAAAAGAACAAACAAGACCAAUGCUUAAAAAAGACAAAAGGGUAAAUAACUGUUUGUACACAUACAGAGAGCGCUAAAUAUUGCUUGCAAGGACCAAACCUUGAAUCGGAUGUGUUUAGACGAGGGUGCAUUUAUAUAUAUUUGUUCAAGAAAACAAUCGCCCCUUUUUGGUUGUUUUUUUUUAUGGCAAUGUUCGUUUUAAAGUUUUUAUUUGUGCUUUUAAGAAGACAAAAAAGCUAAGAUACUAGUCGAUUUCUUAUUUAAGAAUAUAGGUUUGCCUAUUAUCAUAACACUUAUUGUGAAUGUUUCAAAAUAAAAAUUGUUGUUUAACUUUGUUUUAUUUCUAAUUUUAGGAUAUUUUGCGAUAUAAAGUGCACACUGUUAUAUACAUGUUAAUUAUUUUUCGAAAUAUAGUUUGUUUUGUUUGUUCUUAUUUUUUGUUUCCUUUUUACCACUGGACGUUAAGCAACCAACAAUCAAUCAAUCAAUUGUUUCCUUUUUGGUCUCUUUUUUUAUGCUGAAUUUCAUAGGUAUUUGUGCAAGUUUUAAGAUGUUUAAACAUUUUGGUUAUUGUUCUUUUUAGCAUGUUUAGUUGUACGAAUAGAUAUGGAAUUCGGUCAGUAUUUCAAACGAUUGAGAUUUCUUUUUCUGCCACCUUUUAUUUUUGAACAAGGAAUUUUGAUAAGUUUGAUAAUUUCAAUUUAGAAAAUAUGGAUUAAGUGAAAAUAAUUUCAAAGAUAUAUAAUAUAUAUAUAUACAGAAAUCGUUGUUGAAUUGUAAAUAUUCGUUACUGAUAUUUCAUGAAAUUUAAAAUAUCUAGUUUAUACUCUCAAACUGAUUUAAAAAUAAAGGAAAAUCUAACAGCUCCAAUUGAAAAUAUAGACCCGCAGUUUACAAAAAAAUGGUUUUUGACUGUUCAUUAUCUCAGACUAUUUUUUUUUUUUUAAUAGAAGGGGGAUUCAGAAAACCAGAGACAUAUGUAUGUAUAUAGGUCUCUGACAAAACUUAACGACAAUGGUGUGUAUAGAAGAAAGAGUGCAAGUGAAAGGAAGAACGAUUGCUGAAAGCUAAAUUUGGCCGGGAAAAGGAUCUAUUUCAACCAUAUAAAACGCAUGCUAUAUGUAUUUUGUUGAUUGUUGCUUGCUUCCUAACACGCAAUGACAAGUUUCUCUCAUGCAUAUUCUGCGCAAUGACAAGUUUCUCUCAUGCAUAUUCUGAAUGAAAACAUAUCAUCAAGUUUAUACAAAUUAAGUGAGGUGACUAAAUCUUAAUUUCAUUUUAAUCGGGUUUUCUAUUAAUUUACACGAAAAUAAGUUAUUUUAUGGGCUCUUCGUCGAGUAUAACGUCGAAGACAUAUCGGUAUACAUAUAUACAAACAAAAGCACACAAAAAACCAAAAACAGCACAAAAGACAAAAAAGACAAACAACUCAAAACACAAAAAACCCAAUGCGAAUCAUUAUAUAAAAAGUGAUUUAUGAAAUGCGAUUUAUAAAAACAAAACUUGCAAAACUACGGGAUCUGAUUGUCAUACUGACCCCCUUUUCAGUAAGAUAGAUGGAAAAAUUAACACCCCCAUGAGUCCGCGGUCAACUAAACUAUGUCUCGUGCACUAAACUCGUACAGACUUCACACAUUAAAUUAUUGAUGACUUCUAACAGCACACGGUAAAUAAUGAAGUAGAAUAUAUUACUUGUAACAAAAUAUAUAUUUCACUUCUCUUUGAAGGUUUCAACAUAGACCAUUAUGUAGAAAGAUUGCUCCUCGGUUGUCAACUUUGCGGAUUAAUGCUUUAGGACCCGUGUUCGAGCCAAGGGCACCUUUAUACCAUUAAUAAGUCAAUAAAUUAAUUUUUCCAUCUGAUAAGUUGACAAGAUAUAUCUUUAUCUAAAGACAACAAUAGCUACAAUUAUUAGUUCAAAGAUGUUUAUCUUGAAAAAUGAUUUAUUUAAAAUAUGGUUCCGUUAUGUAAAGGGAGCUAACCGUUAUUUAAUAAAUCUCUAGUAAUAGUCAUUUUGAUCGUAAGGCAGAAUACCUAUACCAACUUUUAUAAAUUUCAUUUUAUUACAUUUUUAAAUAUAUAUAUAUAUAUAUAUAUAUAUAUUAAUCAAGCCUGAAAUAAAGUAUUUUGAAUUUUUACUUAAAUAUGGGUUCUCAUUGACAAUAUUGCAUUUUUUAAUGAAAAGCGUUGAAUCAAAGCUUGAAUAUACCAAAUUUUAUAAAUUUAAUUUUGUUAAAUAAAGUGAAGAUGUAUAUAGCAAUUAAUAAUAGUACAAAUCAAAGUAUUUAAAAUUCUUAGACACUUAAAUAUGGUUUUUCUAACUGAUAAAUGUUGCAUUUUUAAUGAAAAGCGUUGAAACAAAAGCUUGACAUGAAAUUGUACAGACACUAACUAAAAAAAAAAAAAAGAAAUACGUUCGUGUAAAUUGAAUAGAAGAUCGGAGUUGAAAAUGAUAAAUUGUAAAAAGUCACUGACGCCGUCAUUAGCAAACGAAAUAAUCUGAUGUUAGCCUAACAAAAAACAUAAAUAUUUUUUUGUAGGGAGAAUCUUUGUGUAGAAACUACAAAUUAAGACCAUGAUAAAUGAUUCACUCCGUUAGUGUCUAUUUACUAAUUGGAGCUUUCUUGAUAGAGGAAAUGAAUAUAGUAAUAAUUUCUAUUUACUGACCAACUUUCUUUACAGAAAAUCGAUCCAGGACGGAAAAAUACGGAUAUAUUCGGAUGUUGUUUGAUAGACA
rnacentral:lncRNA from 1 species